CAGGUCUUGACAUCCCUCUGACCGGACCAUAACCGGUCCUUUCCUUCGGGACAGAGGAGACAGGUGGUGCAUGGUUGUCGUCAGCUCGUGUCGUGAGAUGUUGGGUUAAGUCCCGCAACGAGCGCAACCCUUAUCCUUAGUAGCCAGCAGUUCGGCUGGGCACUCUAGGGAGACUGCCAGGGAUAACCUGGAGGAAGGCGGGGAUGACGUCAAAUCAUCAUGCCCCUUAUGAUCUGGGCUACACACGUGCUACAAUGGUGACUACAAAGGGAAGCAGCCUCGUGAGAGUGAGCAAAUCCCAAAAAGGUCAUCUCAGUUCGGAUUGUAGUCUGCAACUCGACUACAUGAAGCUGGAAUCGCUAGUAAUCGCGAAUCAGAAUGUCGCGGUGAAUACGUUCCC
rnacentral:rRNA from 1 species